CACGUAGGGGGCGAGCGUUGUCCGGAUUUAUUGGGCGUAAAGAGCUCGUAGGCGGCUCGGUAAGUCGGGUGUGAAAACUCUAGGCUCAACCUAGAGACGCCACCUGAUACUGCUGUGGCUAGAGUCCGGUAGGGGAGCAUGGAACUCCUGGUGUAGCGGUGAAAUGCGCAGAUAUCAGGAGGAACACCAGUGGCGAAGGCGGUGCUCUGGGCCGGUACUGACGCUGAGGAGCGAAAGCGUGGGGAGCAAACAGG
rnacentral:rRNA from 1 species